rnacentral:lncRNA from 1 species
GAAGAAGAUGGAGUAAACUCAUAAUUGCAUGCCUCUUUUAAGGGCGUGUUUGGUAGUAGGUAAGAGUUAAUUGUUAUUUUAAUCGAACUUCAUUAAUUAAUAGCAGUUCAUGUAGUGGCCUAACAUGUUUCUAGAUUAAUGAGUAAAUUUUUUUUUGAAACCCUAGAUUAAUGACUAAUGAUUUUAAAAGAAGGCCGAUAAGAUUUGAAGUGAAGUUGUGAAAUUUUUAUGAAGAAUUGAUAAGCCUCUUGCUUUCCCAUCGAACUAACCCCAUAAGUUCAUAGCUGCUUGAAA